AGUGAACGCUGGCGGUAGGCCUAACACAUGCAAGUCGAACGGCAGCACAGUAAUCGCUUGCUCUUACGGGUGGCGAGUGGCGGACGGGUGAGGAAUACAGCGGAAUCUACUUUUUCGUGGGGGAUAACGUAGGGAAACUUACGCUAAUACCGCAUACGACCUACGGGUGAAAGCAGGGGAGCUUCGGACCUUGGGCGAUUGAAUGAGCCGAUGCCGGAUUAGCUAGUUGGCGGGGUAAAGGCCCACCAAGGCGACGAUCCGUAGCUGGUCUGAGAGGAUGAUCAGCCACACUGGAACUGAGACACGGUCCAGACUCCUACGGGAGGCAGCAGUGGGGAAUAUUGGACAAUGGGCGCAAGCCUGAUCCAGCAAUACCGCGUGGGUGAAGAAGGCCUUCGGGUUGUAAAGCCCUUUUGUUGGGAAAGAAAAGCAGCAGGUUAAUACCCCGCUGUUCUGACGGUACCCAAAGAAUAAGCACCGGCUAACUUCGUG
rnacentral:rRNA from 1 species